GAUAAACGCUGGCGGCGUGCCUAACACAUGCAAGUCGAACGCCCUUUUGCGCAAGUGAGAGGGAGUGGCGGACGGGUGAGUACCACGUGGGUACCUACCUUGAGGUGAGGAAUACCACCGAGAAAUACGGUGACAAGACCGCAUACGCUCGGGCAACCGAGCAAAGUCAUGCAAAUGACGCCACAAGAUGAGCCUGCGCCUGAUUAGCUGGUUGGUGAGGUAACAGCUCACCAAGGCGACGAUCAGUAGCUGGUCUGAGAGGAUGAUCAGCCACACUGGGA
rnacentral:rRNA from 1 species